CCAGCAGCUGCGGUAAUUCCAGCUCCAAUAGCGUAUACCAAUGUUGUUGCAGUUAGAAAGCUCGUAGUUGGGGGUGGGUGGCGAGGGGGUCUGCCGCGAGGUGGGCGCCGACGCCGCCAUUGCUUUCUGGAGAGGGUGUGGGUUCUUGACUGGACUUACACGCGCUAGAAUGUUACUGUGAAUAAAUUAGGGUGUUCCAAGCGGGCUUUAGCUUGCAUAGAUUAGCAUGGAAUAACAGAGUUGGACCUGGGCGCUGUUGGGCAGGAGGUGGCUAGGGAAUGGUUAAUAGGGACGGUUGGGGGCAUUAGUAUUUCAUAGUCAGAGGUGGAAUUCCGGGAUUUAUGAAAGACUGACUUCUGCGAAAGCAUUUGCCAAGGAUGUUUUCAUUGAUCAAG
rnacentral:rRNA from 1 species